UUCCCAUUAAUUCAAGAAUUUAUCAUUUACUAAAUGAAAAUAACAUAAUAAAACAUGGAAGGUAACAACAAAAUUCUCACCCAUGAUCACAUAAUUAAGAACUAGUACUAUAUCGAGAUAAUAUCUCAUUACAAACUCGUUAAUAUAAAACACAACAUAAUUAAAAUUCAUUCAACAACAUGAGGUCAAAUAGAAAUACAAUAAUUUAGUAAUAAACUAAGGAAAAAAAAUAUGUUGCUUCCUCAAACGCUAAUGUAACCACUUGUCUUGUAACUUUGCUCUUGAAUAAAUUUGAACUUUCAUGUACCUGUGGAAGAAAACAAAUAAUUUUAGUACAUUUGAUAACAUAAUUUAGCAAAAAACAUAUUUUCAAACAUUAGUCAUAUCAUAUUUUAGUUUGUGAAGAAAAUAAUAGAACGACAAAUUAGCACUGGCCGGUAGAAAGGUACUUAGUCAAAGUUAGACAGUAAAUAUUUAAUUCUUCUUUGACUCCAAAUAACCACAAGAAUUAAGACAAAGAGAUAUGAAAUUAAGAUUAACUAAUCUCUCAAAAAUUAAUGAAUAAUAGACAAUUUUCUUCAUACCUCUACAAUAGAAUUAAAUUAAUAAGAACCCACGAAUACGUACACAUAAUAUAUUAUCUGGAGAAACCCAAAUUUUUAUUGCCCUACAAUUGAAAGAAAAAGAUAUUCCGUAUGAGAGAUGCAACAGAAAAAAAUUGAAGUAUAAUUAAUAUUUUUUAACUUAGAUUGAGGAUUUGUACCAAAGCAAAGGAGGCGUCAGAAGAGGCUUUGCGUCUUAAAACGCCCAUCACGCAAAUUUGAUCUUUUAUGUUAUUAAAUCAACAAAAGAAUUCGAAGAAAAUUAAACAUUACAUAAUACAAAGAAUUUGUGUGUGUGAAAGAGAAAGAAAUAAUAAAUUAAUGGAGGUAGGUAAUAUAAAUCUAAGUGGUGCAAUAAUUUGAUUAGGGAGAUGAAUAUCACAAAGUGUUGGGAGAGAAAAGAGGGAGAAUUGAGAAAUGGGG
rnacentral:lncRNA from 1 species